AAAAACUUACAACGUGGCAACAGUGUAAAAUAUUUGCAAUAUAGAUAGUUUCUGUAAACUUAUGUUAAAAGUAGAUGAGUUAUUUUAAAGAAAGUUAUUAGUAAGCUUUGAUUUGGAUACGAUUAUUUAAUUAGACACGUUCAUCUUAGAUGCCAUCUACACACCAUGGGUAUCAAGAACGAUCCAGAGUUGGUGUAGGAAGUGUACAGAUGAAACUGCAGGUCACUUUAUAAGUUCCCAAUACGGGGGAGCCUCACAGUUUGUCUAAUGACAUUAAAAGUUUCAAGGCAAAGCACCUGAUUGGGUUCUCCAAAGGAUUUCGGGAUUUGGUAAUGUCAAGUGGGGCACGACAAUCUUUUUGGAGGACCUCAACGACCUUUAGUCGCCCACUACGCUACCAUGAGAACGUGGGUGUAUUGAAAUAAAACAAAAUAAUAUUAAAAACAAUUUUUAAUAGAUAUUUCAUUAUUAGAACCAUAUAUUUUAAUUAGAAUGUAUUUCAUAGAUAAUUUACGUUUUCUUAAAACAAUUACUAUUUACAUAUAAUACAAAAUAAAAACAUAAAAAUGAAGUAGUCGAUUUCUAUAAUAUAUAUAUAAUAUAAUCAACUAAUAUAGUUGAAAGUGACACUAGUAAAAAAAUAUAAAAAAAGGUGAAAUCCGUUCUAUGAAAGAAGGUUUUUUCUUUAAAUAAAACUCAACAAUAAUUCUACCCAAUCUCAUAGAACUGAUUUCAAUAUUAGAGUUGAGAAUCUUUCUAAGACGGUACACAAUGAAUAUUUUUUCCCAAACAUACACCCAAAGAUACCCUAAUUUUCAUUUAAAUUUCUUCUUUUUUCAUAUAAAAUAUUAAUUUCAAAUCAAAACUAUUCACUAUAAUCCUGUAUUAUGGAAUCUCUUAUUUUCAGAGGGAUGGAAAUUGAGAGUAUUUUCUGUAUUACUACUACAAUUAUACUUUCCCUUAUAAAUGAUAAUAACCUCCAAAAACGGGAUAGUAGUUCAAAUGUAACAUUCCUAACUUUUGUAUUUUCAUAAUAUUAAUAUGUAAUUCAAACCAGCAACCAUACAUCAUUUUUUCAAAUAUCAAUAAGGAAUAUUUUAAUUGAAAAUUUGUAUAUAAUUAUUGGUAGACAGUGAUUUAAAAAAAUGAAAGGCACACACAGAAUAACAACAUUAUAUAACCAGAUAUUUCAAGAAUCUCAAUAUUAUUAUGCAAAAACCACAACAAAUUAUGAAGAUAAGUUUUGAGCAAUGAGGUGACUCGAAUUUUUUUGCAAGUAAACUUUUGGACACAUUUCUAGAGAUAGAGAAGUUUGUAACAGCAUCUUAACAUUUUUUUCAACUGUCUUAAAUCACUUUGGAGUCUCUCCAAACCUCUAAACAAUCUAAAACUUUCCUGGAUCAUCCAAAUCAUCCUACAAAACAUUCUAAAAUUCUCUUAUAAUAUUUUGAAGCUCUUUAGGGCAUUAUGAAAGUAUUUGAGAGCUUGUAAGACUUCGUGACAUUUUUCAACUGUCCUUUAAGACUUUGAUACCCUUUGGAACAAAUUAAAAGUCAAUAUUGGAGACCGAGAAGCUUUUAGAAGCAUCUUGAUAUUGGUUUAAACUGUUGUAAAUGACUUGGAAGCCCUUUGGAAGAAACAACUUUCCAAUAUCAUCUGUAAACUUCUAUAGAUAAGGAAAUUAAACUAGGUACAUUGUUGAAAAUUGAGAAGUUUUUAAAAUCUUCUGUCACUGUCACUUCAAAAUCUCUCUGAAGAAACUAAGACUUUCCAGCUUCAUAAAGAAACUGAUAAAAAAAAAUUAACUUCUGGAAAAAUGUUUAGAGACUUAUAAAAGCACAUUCACUUUAUUUCAACUGUCUUGAAUCACUUGGAUGUCCUUUGAAAGCUUCCUGACAUUUUUUAACAAUCUUAAAACAAUUUGAAGUGUCUUAGAACAAACGGAAACUUUUUAAUUUAUCUGGAAAGGUGAAAAGUAAUUGAAAAAAAUAUUUGAAUGUAGUGAAAAAUCUAUAACAUUUUGGAACCUCUUGGAAUAGAGAGCUUUUUUGUGACCUAUAAAUUCUUCAGAAAACUUUUGGCAAAUAAUCAAAAAAUUGUUUUCAGCUGUUAAGAAAUUCAAUUUAGAAAAACAUACAAAUUUUGCAAAUGAGUUAAUAUAUAAAAAAAAUUGUGAAAAUGGUUGUAAAAAUUAUGAAUUUCAAAUUUGGUCUGUCACAUUUUUCCAACAGGAAAAAUCUCGAUUUAUAUUUUCCUUUUAGUUAUAAAAAAUUUUCCUAUACUUGGAUAAAUUACUAAACUUCAACACCCAAUACUCUAUCGACGACAUAAUUGUACCUUCCGUCUCCCGUACUAUUUUCUUCAUCCCCAACGUUUUUAUUACAGUCAUUUACUUCACCAACAACACUCUGUGACGAUUCUUCGUUCAUCGGUCUUUUCGUACUAUCGACUAUCGAAUGAUGGCACUCGUCUUGAGUUGGGAAAAAAGGUACUAUAGAAUCAGAUCGGGUAAAGAACGCCAUUUUUUCUCUGCAAAAAAAAAAUAUUCGAAAUCAUCUAUUAAACGUUUAGAACAUUAUAAACUUACUGGAAAGAAAUAACGUCUGGUUUUCCAUUACCAGCCUUCGAUUUUCUCAGUUUGUAAAUUUCCUUCGAAACCUUCCUCAACAUCUUCUCAAUUUUCUUUUCUUCUGCCGUUUUCGCCGUCCUGCAGCUCUCCGCUUGAGCUAUCAGAUUUUGGAACUGUCGGUCCUCCAACAAAUAAGCUGCCAAUUCUGUAUCACCUGCAACGAUAGUUUAUUAUUGGUCAUAAGUGAACUAAAUUGCAUGUAGAGACAUUACUGUUAAUACGAGGUUCGCUAAUUAUAUUUUACAGUCUUAUUUCCCUAUUCUUGAUCGACUGCAACAGUGACUGUGGUGGAAAAAGCCUUAGAAGACCUGCAUAGGGACCACUAGAAAUGAAAUUAAACUCAAGAAGAUAUAGUGACGUUGAUAGAACAGAUGGUUAAGGCACAUUUGGAAGAAAGAAAUCAAAGCAAAUAUACAUUUGCCUGGAGACCCUAUUUUUCGCCAAAGCCACAUCAGAUUUCAAGAGGUCAGGAUCAUAUUUCGUACUUACGCUACUGCUGGAAGAGCACACUGAAACAAUUCAAAAUAAUUAAAAA